rnacentral:tRNA from 4 species
GCGGAAAUGGCUCAGUGGUAGAGCAUCGCCUUGCCAAGGCGAGGGUCGCGGGUUCGAAUCCCGUUUUCCGCUCCA